CUGUCUCGUCUUCUACGUUUCAACGCCAUAGAUUUGACGGCAAAUUUUCAACAGGUAUUCUCACGCGCCGCCGCCGACCGCCGACCGCCAUGUAGAGUUGUUUCUGCUUCAUCUAAUGGACGAUACUGUUGAAGUUGUACACCAAGUACACACUUGAUUCUUCCCGCUGUCGGUUUCAAUGGACUCCUCAAAAUUAUCAAAUCCUCAAUCCAUGCGAGUCCUAAUUCGACCUCCAAAUCCACCUACCCACCCCCAAGUUCCACCCCCUCCUCCCCACCCACCUCCAUCAGAUGCAACACCCACCUCGUCCGCUCCACUC
rnacentral:lncRNA from 1 species